UCUAUUUACUUAAUGUUCCCUUAAAAUAAUUUAUACCUCUUAUAUAGGAUUUUAAAGUUUAUAAAUACAUUUUGAGAAUUUUUGAAGUGCAGCAAUUUCAUAGUUUUCCCUAUUAUAUCAACAAUAAAAGUGUAAGAGAGGAAAUCAAAUUCAUCAUACUGGAAGACCAACUCCAGCAGGUUAAGCGCAGGAAGGAGAGAGAAUUCUGAACAAGAAACAAAGGAACUGAAAAGACCCAAACAACUGAACUCACUUCUCUUUGGGAAACCCACCAGAGAGUCUGAUCUGAGCAAACCUCUGAGCUUGGAGCAUCCUCCUGUGAAGCCAGACCUCAAGAGAAACUAAUUUCUACCUGCCUCAGUCUCCCCAUCUCCCUUAAAUUUUAAUCUUUACAGUUGGCAACCACGAAGGGAAAAAGAACUUUCAAUCUUCUGAUUUCUUUUCUGAUCUUAAAUUCAGUUUUAAUA
rnacentral:lncRNA from 1 species